UUUUAACAAAACCCUUUAGAAAUAAAACAACAACCAAAAAAUACAACCGUUUCGAAUCAUUAAAACAUAAAACAAAUCGAAUACAAUUUUACAAUAAUCGAUUUUUGAUAAAAAUAAGAUUUUUUCACUAACAAGCUGUCAAAAUAUCAAAGGAACUUAGUAGUAAGUUCCUUUGAUAUUUUCUUACACUUUAUCAUUCACCAGUAGCUUACAUACGAUUUCAAAUACAUGCUCACAUAAUAUGUUCAUUACUUCUAAAUUUUAUUAAUUAGAAGCUGAAUUAUAAUUUAAGACGUUGGGGCUAGUUAAGCGUUAAUGCUUGGCGCAGCCGAAUUGCUCACGAGUCACAGCACUUUGAAGCACUUAUUAUA